UACGAAGGAUGCGAGCGUUAUCCGGAUUUAUUGGGUUAAAGGAGCGUAGGCGGUCUUAUAAGUCAGUGGUGAAAUCUCGUUGCUUAACAACGAACGUGCCAUUGAUACUGUAGGACUUGAGUACAGUUGCCGUUGGCGGAAUGUGUCAUGUAGCGGUGAAAUGCAUAGAAUAUGACACAGAACACCGAUUGCGAAGGCAGCUGACGAAACUGUAACUGACGCUGAGCUCGAAAGCGUGGGGAUCAAACAGG
rnacentral:rRNA from 1 species